rnacentral:rRNA from 1 species
GAUGAACGCUGGCGGCGUGCCUAAUACAUGCAAGUCGAGCGAACGGACGAGAAGCUUGCUUCUCUGAUGUUAGCGGCGGACGGGUGAGUAACACGUGGAUAACCUACCUAUAAGACUGGGAUAACUUCGGGAAACCGGAGCUAAUACCGGAUAAUAUUUUGAACCGCAUGGUUCAAAAGUAAAAGACGGUCUUGCUGUCACUUAUAGAUGGAUCCGCGCUGCAUUAGUUAGUUGGUAAGGUAACGGCUUACCAAGGCAACGAUGCAUAGCCGACCUGAGAGGGUGAUCGGCCACACUGGAACUGAGACACGGUCCAGACUCCUACGGGAGGCAGCAGUAGGGAAUCUUCCGCAAUGGGCGAAAGCCUGACGGAGCAACGCCGCGUGAGUGAUGAAGGUCUUCGGAUCGUAAAACUCUGUUAUUAGGGAAGAACAUAUGUGUAAGUAACUGUGCACAUCUUGACGGUACCUAAUCAGAAAGCCACGGCUAACUACGUG